GGGGGCGUGGCGAAAUUGGUAAACGCACUGGAUUUAGGUUCCAGCGCCGCAAGGUGUAAGAGUUCGAGUCUCUUCGCCCCCACCA
rnacentral:tRNA from 1 species